UCCAGCCUUUCCAUUCUCCUCAUGUCUAACAAUCUCUUUAUCUCCAUUGGGUUUCGCGUCCAUGAGAUCCUCACGUGGUAUGAGAUCCUCACGUGCUUUUUCUUUGUCCUUAUUUUUCUCUCUCUCCUUAUCCUUCUCAAUCCUUUCUCUUUCUCUUUCUCUUUCUCUUUCUCGCUCUCGCUCCCGCUCCCGUUCCCGUUCCCGCUCUCGCUCUUUUUCCUUCUGCUGUUUUUCCUUCUCUCUUUCUCUAGCAGGCUCCCGUUCAUGCUCCGUUUCACGGUCAUUGAUAUCCUUAUCCUUUCCCCUAGGUUUAUCUUUCCGAAGCUUUUCCUUUUUUUCUUUUAUUAUUUUAUGUAGCUCAUAUACAUCCUUGGUGAUAAGAUCAAUGGGCUGUAUAAACUGGAAGUCUUCGUCCAUAUCUGUGUCAUCCUGC
rnacentral:lncRNA from 1 species